CCCUUAGAUGUUCUGGGCCGCACGCGUGCUACACUGAGUAAAUCAAUGGGUAAGGGAACACGAAAGUGCAACCUAAUCUUCAAAUUUGCUCGUGAUGGGGAUCGACGGUUGCAAUUCUCCGUCGUGAACGAGGAAUACCUUGUAGGCGCGUGUCUUCAUCACGCGCCGAAUACGUCCCUGCCCUUUGUACACACCGCCCGUCGCUCCUACCGAUUGAGUGAUCCGGUGAGGCUCUGGGACCUGGACGGAAAGAGCGUUUCGCUUGUUCUGUUUGGGAAACUUGGUCGAACCUUAUCAUUUAGAGGAAGGAGAAGUCGUAACA
rnacentral:rRNA from 1 species